rnacentral:lncRNA from 1 species
UAUAAUAUUCAGAAGUUUUCCAGUUAGAUCAUCCGAGCUGCAAAUAUUUCCUGAAUAUUAUGAUCAGCAGUUGCUAAACAAAGAAAGCUAGAUCUGGACCCAAGAAAGAAAUCAGCAUCAUCUUGACGCCAUAUGAACUCAAGCAGUUGACCAAGAGUGAAUGCAAUUCUGCACAUUUUGCAUAAGUCCUGAUUCAAUGAACGAGCUCCAUGGAAGGUCAGUUCCUCACUAUUUUUCCCCAUUUAGCAGUCAUCCUUACAAGAUUUUUCAUGCUGAAAAUUCAACCAAUUAUGAAUUCAACUCAAAUCAAUGUACAGCAUGGCACAAAAAUAUGGCCACCAGAUAACCUAGAAGCUGCUCGUGUAUGAACCCUAGACUGCCUACAUAACCUCCAUGAUCUCUGCCACACAGAGAGCAGUGAAGAACCAAGAGAAAGAAGAUUAAUUCGUCUAGAGUGGGAGCACCUACUGUCUCCAAUCUACCAAAUAUGUACCUAUAUAGAUGUCCUAUAUAUCAUGUGAUCCGAUCAAGUUGCCAUUUUUGGUAUGAAAUGCUCAACACACCGCCGCCCAGAUUAGACCCCCCCCCCCCCCUCUACUGAAUGGACUCCAAAAGUGGGAAAAAAUUGCAGGCAAGAACCCUAGUUCCGGCUCGAUUAGGUCAGAAGGAGGGCUUCGUUGAUCGGAGCAAGAUGAAGAAGAAGGCGCCACGCUAACCUUUUCGCUCGCUUCGGGUCAACGAGGGCGAGAUCCGCAAGAUUCGCCGCUGACAUGGCCUUCUUCGCCUCUGCAGAUGAAGCUUCCUCCAUGGCGGAAGAGAGCAGCUCCGAUUUGAUGGAGGAGCCGUCCAUGGACUGGCUGUGCUGGUGACGGAACCUCGGCCGGUCGGUCAACGCCGAGGACGGCGAGUUCUCCCCCGGCGGCGGCCCCGCCGCGGGCUCGCCGGGGAGGACGAGAGCUCCGGAGGUCUCGGCGGAGGAGCUGAUCUUCUCCAUGUCCAUGUACAUCAAGAAGAAGUCCUCGUCGGCGUCGUCGGACAUGGCGGGGCCAUCGCCGGAGCCGACGACGCCGAGAUCGCUGUCGAAGCUUAUGUCAUCGGGGAGGGUGAGGAUCUCAGACUGAGCUCUCCGGUGGCCGAGGCUCCUCGGAGGGAGAUCCGGCAUCCCGCUG